rnacentral:tRNA from 1 species
GCCCGGGUCGCCUAAUCUGGCUAUGGCGCCAGCCUGGAGAGCUGGUGGGGCUCUUGCCCCGUGUGGGUUCGAAUCCCACCCCGGGCG